AUUGAACGCUGGCGGCAUGCUUUACACAUGCAAGUCGAACGGUAACAGGCCGCAAGGUGCUGACGAGUGGCGAACGGGUGAGUAAUGCAUCGGAACGUGCCCAGUCGUGGGGGAUAACGCAGCGAAAGCUGUGCUAAUACCGCAUACGAUCUAUGGAUGAAAGCGGGGGGCCGUAAGGCCUCGCGCGAUGGGAGCGGCCGAUGUCAGAUUAGGUAGUUGGGGGGGUAAAGGCUCACCAAGCCAACGAUCUGUAGCUGGUCGGAGGGGCCGACCAGCCACACUGGGACUGAGACACGGCCCAGACUCCUACGGGAGGCAGCAGUGGGGAAUUGUGGACAAUGGGCGCAAGCCUGAUCCAGCAAUGCCGCGUGCAGGAAGAAGGCCUUCGGGUUGUAAACUGCUUUUGUACGGAACGAAAAGGUUUGGGUUAAUACCCUGGGCCGAUGACGGUACCGUAAGAAUAAGCACCGGCUAACUACGUGCCAGCAGCCGCCGUAA
rnacentral:rRNA from 1 species